GUCUUUUUGUUAAAAAUUUAAAGUCGGGCCUGCCCACUGAAACUUUAAAUGGCCGUGGUAUUUUGACCGUGCUAAGGUAGCAUAAUCAUUAGUUUUUUAAUUGAAAGCUGGAAUGAAAGGUUUGAUAAAAAAAUGACUGUCUCUAUUUAAUUUUAUUAGAAAUUUAUUUUUAAGUUCAAAAGCUUAAUUUUUAUUAAAAGACGAGAAGACCCUAUAGAGUUUAAUAAUUUAAGGUAAUUUAUAUUUUAGAAUUAAUUCAUUUAUUUUUUAAUAUUAUUUAAUUGGGGUGAUUGAAAAAUUUAAUUAACUUUUUUUAUAUUUGACCAUUAAUUUAUGAUAAUUUGAUCCAAUUUUUUUGAUUAUAAGAUAAAAUUACCUUAGGGAUAACAGCGUAAUUUUUUUAGAAAGUUCAAAUUAAAAGAAAAGAUUGCGACCUCGAUGUUGGAUUAAAAUUAAAUUUUGGUGUAGAAGCUAAAAAUUUUAAGUCUGUUCGACUUUUAAAAUUUUACA
rnacentral:rRNA from 1 species